UCCUACGGGGGGCAGCAGUGGGGAAUUUUGGACAAUGGGGGCAACCCUGAUCCAGCCAUUCCGCGUGAGUGAAGAAGGCCUUCGGGUUGUAAAGCUCUUUCGGUGGGAACGAAACGGUACGCGCGAAUAACGUGUGCUAAUGACGGUACCCAAAGAAGAAGCACCGGCUAACUACGUGCCAGCAGCCGCGGUAAUACGUAGGGUGCGAGCGUUAAUCGGAAUUACUGGGCGUAAAGCGUGCGCAGGCGGUUAUUUAAGACAGAUGUGAAAUCCCCGGGCUCAACCUGGGAACUGCGUUUGUGACUGGAUAGCUGGAGUAUGGCAGAGGGGGGUGGAAUUCCACGUGUAGCAGUGAAAUGCGUAGAGAUGUGGAGGAACACCAAUGGCGAAGGCAGCCCCCUGGGCCAAUACUGACGCUCAUGCACGAAAGCGUGGGGAGCAAACAGGAUUAGAUACCCUGGUAGUCCACGCCCUAAACGAUGCGAACUAGGUGUUGGGGAAGGAGACUUUCUUAGUACCGCAGCUAACGCGUGAAGUUCGCCG
rnacentral:rRNA from 1 species